CGCUGGCGGCACGCCUAAUACAUGCAAGUCGAACGAAGUAGCAAUACUUAGUGGCAGACGGGUGAGUAACAUGUAGGUAUCUUCCCAUUGGUGAGGAAUAACACGAGGAAACUUGUGCUAAUACCUCAUAAGUCUUUACGGAGAAAGCUUUAUGCGCCGAUGGAUGAGCCUGCACUUGAUUAGUUUGUUGGUAGGGUAAUGGCCUACCAAGACAAUGAUCAAUAGCUGAUUUGAGAGGAUGAUCAGCCACAUUGGGACUGAGACACGGCCCAAACUCCUACGGGAGGCAGCAGUAGGGAAUCUUGCACAAUGGGGGAAACCCUGAUGCAGCGAUGCCGCGUGAGUGAAGAAGGCCUUUGGGUUGUAAAGCUCUUUCGUCGGGGAAGAAAAUGACUGUACCCGAAUAAGAAGGUCCGGCUAACUUCGUGCCAGCAGCCGCGGUAAUACGAAGGGACCUAGCGUAGUUCGGAAUUACUGGGCUUAAAGAGUUCGUAGGUGGUUAAAAAAGUUGGUGGUGAAAUCCCAGAGCUUAACUCUGGAACUGCCAUCAAAACUUUUUAGCUAGAGUAUGAUAGAGGAAAGCAGAAUUUCUAGUGUAGAGGUGAAAUUCGUAGAUAUUAGAAAGAAUACCGAUUGCGAAGGCAGCUUUCUGGAUCAUUACUGACACUGAGGAACGAAAGCAUGGGUAGCGAAGAGGAUUAGAUACCCUCGUAGUCCAUGCCGUAAACGAUGUGUGUUAGACGUUGGAAAUUUAUUUUCUGUGUCGCAGCGAAAGCAAUAAACACACCGCCUGGGGAGUACGACCGC
rnacentral:rRNA from 1 species